CCUACGGGAGGCAGCAGUGGGGAAUUUUGGACAAUGGACGCAAGUCUGAUCCAGCCAUUCCGCGUGCAGGACGAAGGCCUUCGGGUUGUAAACUGCUUUUGUACGGAACGAAAAAGCCUUGGCUAAUACCCAGGGUCCAUGACGGUACCGUAAGAAUAAGCACCGGCUAACUACGUGCCAGCAGCCGCGGUAAUACGUAGGGUGCAAGCGUUAAUCGGAAUUACUGGGCGUAAAGCGUGCGCAGGCGGUCAUAUAAGACAGAUGUGAAAUCCCCGAGCUUAACUUGGGAACUGCAUUUGUGACUGUAUGGCUAGAGUACGGCAGAGGGGGAUGGAAUUCCGCGUGUAGCAGUGAGAUGCGUAGAUAUGCGGAGGAACACCGAUGGCGAAGGCAAUCCCCUGGGCCUGUACUGACGCUCAUGCACGAAAGCGUGGGGAGCAAACAGGAUUAGAUACCCUGGUAGUCCACGCCCUAAACGAUGUCAACUGGUUGUUGGGUCUUCACUGACUCAGUAACGAAGCUAACGCGUGAAGUUGACCGCCUGGGGAGUACGGCCGCAAGGUUGAAACUCAAAUGAAUUGACGGAAACUCAAAGGAAU
rnacentral:rRNA from 1 species